UGUUUUAUAUAUAUAUAUAUAUAUAUAUAUAAAUAUAUAAAAUAUGUUGACAUAUAUUAGCCAUAAAGUUGCUAUCUAGUUGUUUAUUGGCUAAAAGCUUUAAGUUAAAUCAAACCUCUUUUUUACCUGAACAUGAUUGUCUCUCAGCUGGAGAUAAAGGAGAUGUCUGUGAUGAUAAACUGCUGGAGUUCCUCAAAAAUUAAAACUAAAACUAACAGAAGUCAGGCUCCAUUCUGCUUUAACUGCUUUUUUCUCGUCGCAGCUACGGUUGCUGGUCGUGCUGCUGUGAUAAAAGUUUAGUUCGCGGUGAGGACACAAAUGCAAAGAAACCAAGUUUUAUGCACAAACAGCACAGCAAAUAGGAAGACAAGAGCACAACUCCCUGAUAUGGCAAAUUGGAGCUACAGUGUCAACAAGGAUUCGUCCAAAUUUGCACAGUGGUUACUGUGACAAGAACGAUAGAAGGCCUGCAACACACAACACCCAAGACCAGCAAAGGACAGGUGGCUGGGCUCCAGAAGGCCGCAGCAGCUCCAGCCUGGCCAGGCCCGGGACCCGGUACCCCCUGUGGGCUGAGGCCCCCACCAAUCUAUCAGCAGAAAGAGUGCUCAGCACCAAGUUGGGGAGACCCCCCAGAUCCUCUCACAUGCUGGGCAGGCGUCACCGCACCACGGCAGCCAAAACUUUGAAUGACCAUGGUAGGGCCCACCAGAGCCCUGCGUAGCCCCUGCGUCUCACUGCCUGACACAUCCCGGGAGCCAUAGGCCACCUGACAGGAACCCAGCACUCACACAAACAACACCCAACCAAGGAGGGGCAGUCUCUCCACCAGUCCUUCCAUGAUGUCAGAGACCCCCAAGCCAUCUCCACACCUUCAGUCCCUGCCGAACCAACAUAGGCACCAGGAUGGUAGCAAAAGAGAACAAUGGCGUGCCCCCCGAGCCCUGCACUUCCACCCCAUGGUGUUUGCAUCUGUGUCUGUGGUGAUGUGAAAUGUUCUGGAUCGUUGCAUGGCUCGCUAGUGUUGUAGGAUACAGGAUACAUAUCUAAUCCAAGAAUAACAUCAGUAUUGGGUCAGAUACACAUCUUCGGAUCGGGCCCAUCUCUGCAGGUAAUGAGAAAGUAGUUUCAGCAGUGUUUUUUUUUUUGUGUUUCUCUUCUUCUCUAUAUAUGAUCCACUGUUAACACCUUCCGAUUAAUUUGUAAGGAUUCUCUGUUAAGUUUCUGUUGAGCUGAAGUGACCCACGUCCUUCAUUAGUGCCUAAAGAUUUCUUCCUUUGCUCUCACCAGCUUUAUAUGAUGAUUUGUAUACUGUUGCCCAUAAAGUUGGAAUAAAAUAAAUUUUACCUCUUCUCCUGAAAUGGGAUUUAUUCUUGCUGCAUAAAGUGUCAGGAUCUGUCUGUGUUAGGUUUUUGUGUUUGUUUAUCUUCUCGGCUUAACCAGGUGCUUUUCUGUUCAUUUAUGUUUAUUAGAUUCCUCCUGUUUAGUUUAUGUUACUUCCUGUGUUAAAAGUGUUUAGUUUAUAUGUUCUUAUAGUUCUUGUUUCCCCCAGGUUAAUGUCCUUUAGUUCAGUCUCAUUGUUUACUUGCUUCAGUUCAUUUAGAUGUGUUUUGGUUACCUCCUUGUACUUCCUGCUCAUUUGUAAUAAUUAGUCAUUCCCUCUGUAUUGUUUGGGUUCCCUGGUCCCCAGCUGUCUCACAUUCUCCUGAUUAGCUCCUCUCCCAGUUCAUUUGGUUUUAAUUUUUUCUCUCUGGUUCUCUGGUGCUAUCUGAGUCCAUGCUCCUGUCAUGUUCUUGCUAAUCACCUGCCUGGGUUCCUGUACCUGGUCAACCUGUAAGUUUGUCAUCAAUUAAGUCCUUCUCAUCGAAUCCACUAUGCUCAGCAUUUGGGUCCUACUUCAACACGCAAUAUGACAUAAAGUGCCUAUCUUCUAAAAACUUGAUUGAUUGAGUGAACUCUUCCAAAAUGUUUUCACAUUUAUUAUUAAUAUAUUAAUCUAAGCCCUGCGAUGGACUGGGGCCCUGUCCAGGGUGUACCCCGCCUUCCGCUCAUAGACUGCUGGAG